CUUGUUCCAAAUGGUGCAGUCACAAAGUACUCCAUCUAUCUUGAUGGCCAUCUCUAUGAGUCCACUAGCAAUGGAACUGGAUCACUGGAAGUUGGAGGACUCUUGCCAUUCACUGUACACAGUAUUCAGGUGGAGGUGUGUACUGUGUACGCGUGUGUGGAGAGUAACAGCACUCAGGUGACCACGGUUGAGGACACACCGACUGAAAUCGCCAAACCUCAGAUUCAAGUGCUUAGCUCUAGAUCAGUUAAACUGGACUGGACAUCACCUGGUAAGCCCAAUGGCAUUCUGGGAGGAUAUGACGUGUGGCGGAGGACUCUGCAGAGGUGCGAGGAGCUGCAGACCCAGCAGGCGUUUGCUCCUCAGGCUCACUGCUCGUACCUGGAGUGCCUUGCAGACCAAGACUUCUGCGACAAGACCUGUUAUAAUCCUGAGACACAGGUAUGCUGUGCAGGGACUGUUCACAGCCUAAAUCAGUCUCAUCAGUGUUGUGAAGAGCAUUACGUUCCAGCUUUAGAGGAUUCUGGGAGUGUGUGUUGUGGAGGUCAGUUUUUCCAGCCUUUGCCUCAACACCAGUGCUGUGGAGGAUAUUACAUACUAGUUCC